rnacentral:lncRNA from 8 species
CUUAACCAAAACCUGAAGUAAAUGGUGGUAAGACACCACUUCUUUUGGACAAGUUAUGUUUUUAUUACUGUAAUGUUGACAUGAAUUCUGAUUAUUUCCAGGGAUGCACAACAUCCUGAAAUAUAUGUAGAUAUCUUUGUUAGAAAUAAUACCAUAUUUCCCUUGACGGAGUGAUGCUGAAUGUAAAAAAUCUGCUCAAUUUACCCCACUCUCCCCUACAGUAAUGGAUGUUUCUCUCCAGAUGAAGAUGAAAUUAAUGGAGUGACAGCAUGGAUCAUUGGAGAUUUUGAAAAGGCCUCAGGGAGAAGACUGCUGCUGAACGCACUGAAACGUGGGCAUGGAUGUGGACGCCUUCGAGAAGAAAUUCAACACAAUGGUGGUGGAUUUCAUCCGCAGCUGUUCUGCAGAGAUGUCCUGAAGCUGAAUGCUGGACAAAGGGCUGUGGGUCAGCAACAGUAGGUGUGCUCCAUCUCACUCCUGGAGAAGACCACAUGGCCCAUCGUGGACCCCCUGUCAUCGCUGUUGAGCAGCCCUUUCCUCUAUCAUCCCUUAUUUUAUUGUGACUACGUCAAGGACAUUCAGCAUGUAGUUUCAUUUGCAGAAAGGCUACAGUGAUAUUAACGACCUGAGACGAGCAAGUGUCAAGUGUGCUCCCUCUCCGGCCUCUAGAUCACCAGGCUGCUCGUUAUGGCGCACACCUGUCACCAUCGUUAUACGCCCCUGCGCGUCAUUAGACUCACCUGGACUCUAUCACUUCCCUGAUUACCUUUCCUAUAUAUGUCACUCCCUUUGGUUCCUUCCCCAGGCAUCAUUGUUUCUGAUUCAGUUUCAUGUCUGUGCGUUGUUCGUGUUUCUUUCUUUGUGUUACGUUUUCAUUUGCAUUUAUUUAUUAAAUUAUUCACUCCCUGAACUUGCUUCCCGACUCCCAGCGCACACGUUACAGCAAGCGUGCAACUACAGGCUGAAGAGAAAAUGUUUUCAAACCGAUAACUGAUAUUAUUUUUCAUUCUCUACAAUCUCAUUGUUCCUAAUUGUAUAUUGGCUGAA